AUACGGAGGGGGCUAGCGUUGUUCGGAAUUACUGGGCGUAAAGGGCGCGUAGGCGGGCAGGAAAGUCUCUCGUGAAAUCCCACGGCUCAACCGUGGAAUUGCGGGAGAUACUACUUGUCUUGAGUUCGGGAGAGGAGUGUGGAAUUCCCAGUGUAGCGGUGAAAUGCGUAGAUAUUGGGAGGAACACCGGUGGCGAAGGCGGCACUCUGGACCGAUACUGACGCUGAGGCGCGAAAGCUAGGGGAGCAAACGGGAUUAGAAACCCCAGUAGUCC
rnacentral:rRNA from 1 species